GAUGAACGCUAGCGAUAGGCUUAACACAUGCAAGUCGAGGGGCAGCGCGGGUAGCAAUACCUGUCGGCGACCGGCGCACGGGUGAGUAACGCGUAUGUAACCUGCCCGCAACAGGGGGAUAACCCGGCGAAAGUCGGACUAAUACCGCAUAAAACAGGGGUCCCGCAUGGGAAUAUUUGUUAAAGAUUUAUCGGUUGCGGAUGGGCAUGCGUACCAUUAGGUAGUUGGUGAGGUAACGGCUCACCAAGCCUUCGAUGGUUAGGGGUUCUGAGAGGAAGGUCCCCCACACUGGUACUGAGACACGGACCAGACUCCUACGGGAGGCAGCAGUGAGGAAUAGUGAUCAAUGGGCGAGGGCCUGAACCAGCCAAGUCGGGUGAAGGAUGACUGCCCUAUGGGUUGUAAACUUCUUUUACAAGGGAAUAAAAUGAGAUACGGGUAUUUUAUUGCAUGUACCUGGGGAAUAAGCAUCGGCUAACUCCGUG
rnacentral:rRNA from 1 species